rnacentral:misc_RNA from 1 species
UUUGAUAAGCGUGAGGUCGGAGGUUCAAGUCCUCCCAGGCCCACCAGUUACACUAUGCAGCAAAUUGCUCUGGUGACUGAAAGUUGCUCUGAGUGAGAAUGUUAAAAUCCAGUGAGAAUGUUACCACUCCCCUUAUUGAGUAAUUCCUUAAAGAAAAUUUAUGCUUAAAUAAAUUCUUCUAAGAGCGUUUUAAAAAGCUUAGAGAAGCUUCUGUUUUAAAAGUAUGGCGUUUUUAUAAAGCAAGACAUGAGGGCAUUUAGAACUGUUUUAGGGGCCGUAGCUCAGCUGGGAA